rnacentral:rRNA from 1 species
AGAGUUUGAUCAUGGCUCAGAGCGAACGCUGGCGGCAGGCCUAACACAUGCAAGUCGAACGCCCCUUCGGGGGAGUGGCGGACGGGUGGGUAACGCGUGGGAAUGUGCCCUUUGGUACGGAACAACUGAGGGAAACUUCAGCUAAUACCGUAUGUGCCCUACGGGGGAAAGAUUUAACGCCAUUGGAGCAGCCCGCGUUGGAUUAGGUAGUUGGUGGGGUAAAGGCCCACCAAGCCGACGAUCCAUAGCUGGUCUGAGAGGAUGAUCAGCCACACUGGGACUGAGACACGGCCCAGACUCCUACGGGAGGCAGCAGUGGGGAAUCUUGCGCAAUGGGCGAAAGCCUGACGCAGCCAUGCCGCGUGUAUGAUGAAGGUCUUAGGAUUGUAAAAUACUUUCACCGGGGAAGAUAAUGACGGUACCCGGAGAAGAAGCCCCGGCUAACUUCGUGCCAGCAGCCGCGGUAAUACGAAGGGGGCUAGCGUUGCUCGGAAUUACUGGGCGUAAAGGGCGCGUAGGCGGACAGUUUAGUCAGAGGUGAAAGCCCAGGGCUCAACCUUGGAAUUGCCUUUGAUACUGGCUGUCUUGAGUUCGGGAGAGGUGAGUGGAAUGCCGAGUGUAGAGGUGAAAUUCGUAGAUAUUCGG